UGCAGGGCAGCAUGGGACCCUCCCCAAGACAACUGAGCCCUUCCGGGAUAAGGCAUGUCUGACCAGGCUGUACCUGCAAUCGGCUCUCAAAGUUGGACACGUGAAAUUGAAAAAUAUUAAACCUCACAGCUUGUGACUUCUCCGUUCCUUCUGUUCCCACUGGGGGGAAAGUAACACAAUCUCUUCCCCCACCCUCCCACGGGUGGGGAGAGCGGACGUUUGGAUGCCAUUUCAGAGCAAUGCUUAAUGAAGUGAGAAAAUGCAUUUGCAGUGUUGGGCUCUGUGGCACACGCGUGCAAGCCCAGAAGAGCACAAUGGGUGUAUUUUGUGAUUUAGACAUGAGCUACAAAUGCCAAAGAAAUGCCGUCGGAAGAAAAAUCAGACUUGAAAGUCCAAGCUCAGCUUAGAAACAGAUGUAAUUUUUGUUUCUUAAAAAAGAAAAUUUCAGUGGCCUCCUCUCUGCUCCCCCAAGCUGUGUCCUGUCACUGUCUUAGAUGACCUUUCAACGGUGUCUGCCUGGGAUACUUUUAGUAAGCAGGUUGGAGCAUGUGACCCUUGACUCUGCUGCACAUUCUUUGGGGGAGCCUGAAGGCUCUCCAGCUGCCCCCUGGGUGGUCUCUUCAGUUGUGGCCACUGAUGUCUGAGCCUGAUAAGCUGGAAGACCUGGGACCCAAGACCUUCCUUUGGCCAGCAAAGCACUGAGCAGUGCACCUUGAGGGCCAGGGGCCUCGCCUGGAACAGAUGCUCUCGGUGGGAGGCGGUGGGCAGAUGGCUUAGAUUUUUUUGGCAGGUGUAGAGGAUAAUCUUGCUUUUGAGGAUAUUUUUUUUUUUCUACCCUGUUGUCAUCAAUAGACAACAGACUCCUUCUAGUGUUGACAUUUGGCCUAGAGGUGCUGCCUGCACUAAGAACAAAAGCAAAAGCAAGCACAAAAGUGAACUUCGAAACCAACAUAGGAAGAGUAGACACAGAGCCUGUUUACUCUUCGAAAGGGAUGUAUAUCCAACAAGGUUACCAAGGAAAUGACAGACAGACCCAAAAGACAACAAAGAAAGUAAAUCUAGCAACCAUUUCAGUUGCUAAGAAAUGAGUCAUCAAUUCAGGGAAGAGACCUUACUAUUUGCAAGUUCUGGGUAUUUGCUGGGUGUGGCUCCUCCAGACUUACCACAGAACAGUAAAGGUGUUUUAAAAUGUAGCAGCUGACUUCCUAGACUUGAAUAACACUCUCUGUCAUGAAGUUAACAAGCAAUGAACCGGCUACAUCACUCAGCUUUCUCUGAAUCCAAAUUCUGUGCUUUCUCUCAGAUUGCUACAUUGGGAGCUGGUAGGGUUCUCAGUGCGAAUAGGUGUGGCUGAGCCUGACAACCUGGUUAUUAUCCCCAGGAACUAGCUCUCUCUCUCUCUCUCUCUCUCUCUCUCUCUCUCUCUCUCUCUCUCUCUCUCUCUCACACACACACACACACACACACACACACACUGUAAUAAUUAUAAACAAAGCUGGUGUGAAUGAGUGCGUAUUGAUGUUUAAAAUUAAGGCUGCCUCGUCUUCACUUCAGUAGCAAGCUGGAACUUACUGAUUGGAAGCAAAACAUCUUACAUGAUGAGUUUUUAGCAUAAAGAAGUCCCGUUCUUCUCUCUCAUGUUCAUAUGUUGUUAAAUCCCAUCCUGGGAUUCACCUGGCUCACAGAUUGUCUGCCCCAUGAGGUAAGCUCUUAGAGUUCACAGUUUCUCUGCUUGGAUUCUGUCUUAGCCACAGUUCUCUUUUUCUCCUGGUCCCAACCUGGUCUGCUUUUCCUUUUCUGGCACCUGCCUAUUUGUCUUCAAGGUCUGCUUCCAGGGCCCACAGGCUGCCUCUUUCCCUGGCCUCCUUUUUGGUGCUGGCCCCUCACUGCCCUUUAUCCAUCCCAUAGCUUAGUACCAUGGUUGCUUUGAUGAAUUAAAAAGGCUCAACGUGGGGAGGUUAGCCCUGUGUUUCUGCUGCCUUGAGAAAUAAUGCUGAACAUUACUGUGCGAUGACGAUGCUCUUAAGCUACAGAAGUUCAAGACCAGUGUCUGUAUUUAAAGCCCUGUUCUGGAUGUUCCAGAUGUGGCUUCUUUCUGUCUCUGGGGAAGCUUUCCUUGCACAGUCCUAGAUAAACUGUAAGUACCUCCAUCAGGCCCGGGAUGAGGAGCGGGGCUCCUGGUCCUCUUGACAUCAUUGUUAUUUAGGGGGGCUAUCUUUGUAUUUUUGUUCUUCGCCUUAUUUCCUAAGAUAGAUGUUCCCUGGCAAAGGUGGUGUAUGGACAGCUAAAAGCCUUAUUCUGAGAAUAUGUGAGUAGUCUUCAAUGAUGUUUUUCACCAUACAAAAUGGGAUUUUUCACAAUAACCUAUUUUCUUUUGGUUCACAAGUGGCAUCUAUUUUUCUAAUUCAUCUACUGGCUUCUCAAAGACAUCCAGUUAUUAAGUGACAAGGUAAGAUUUGAACUCAGGCAUUUCUCAACUACUACUCAAUCUCUGAGCCCAUGUGCUAAGGUUGUUUUGGAAUAAGUAUUAGUCUAAACCAAACGAAGAUGCCUGUGUUUGACUUGUUUUGUUUUAAAAUAAGGUCUUAUUAUGUAGUCCAGGUCAGCCUUGAACUUCUCCUGUUCCUGAUUUUUGAAUGCUGGGAGUAUAGGCAAGUACCCCUGCAUUCCAUGAUUCUAUUUUUGACUUUCAAAAACUGGAAAUUUGUAUGUGGAUUAUAUACAAAUAUAAUUCAAUAUCAUAUGGAUCAAAUAUCGCAAUAAUACAAUGUCUCUUAGACCAACAAUGUAAGAGAGACAGAACCGAUGUUCUCUAUGUGGGUUGAUACGGUCUAGCUUUAUCAUGGGGCACACAUGCCUUCUGGAAGACAUCUGCAAUAACUGAGGUACCAGUUAUUAACCAGCAUGAUCCAGGUACACAGCAUAGGGGGAGUUAACUGAAGAAAUGCUGAAUCAGUUGGAUAAUAGGAAUCCUGUUUGAUGUAAUCUUUUCAAGCUUUAGCAUAUGUUCUAUUUCUGGAGUCUGUGUGUGUGUGUGUGUCCCCAAAGACAAAGACAGAGGGACUUUUUAUAGUUGGGAGAAAAGCCUCCAGCAUGGCAUGUGUGCCCUUGAAGCAAAUACUAAGACCUGGUUAGAUGAAGGCUCCACAUGGGGGGGGAGGGGUAUUACCAUCACCAUCCUCUCCAAAAUGGCCUCACUUUCCGGGAGGCAUGCUAUUAUUUUCUUUAAAUUUUAAAAGUGAGGAAAGUGAGGAAAGUGAGGGAAGCUUAUGUUUGUGGAGGGAGAGCCUUGACUCCUGAGCAGCAUUGGCUGAUAGAGCCUUCUGCCGUGAUCAAAAUGUUCUCCGCCUGUCCUCUUUAACAUGGUAGCCACUGUCCACACGCGGAUGCUGGACACAUGAAGCCUGGCUGCUCUCAAUCUUGUCAGAAGAAGUUUCUCUUCCAUUUUUUUCCCCAAGAAAGAAAGGGGUUGUUUCAUCCUACAGCUUGUAGUUCAUCAUCCAGGGAAGUCAGAGGAGGAGCUCAAGGCAGGACCAAGAGGACCAAGAGCAACUGAAGCAAGCAGGACCAAGAGGUAGCAACUGAAGCGGACUGUGGAGGAGUGCUGUCUACCAGCUUGCUUCCCAGGCCUUGCUCGGUUACUUCCUCUACCAUCCAGGACCACCCACCCAGAGGCAGGGACACAUAUCAAUCAGUAAUCAAUGCCUUACACGCUUGCCCAGGAUCCAAUCUGCUGAGGGCCUUGAGAAAUUUAUUUUUGUGGCAGGCAGCAGUGGAGAGAUGCAGGACAAGUCCAAGUGCCGAAGAAAAGAGGACAGGUGCUCAGCAUCCUUAGGAAGUCCCUACCGAGGUUAAGGGAGGACCCUUGAAGACGAGGUAGAGCGAAUGUAAGAGGCAGGGGGUAGGGAGAAGUGCUGUGAAAUCCUGUCUUCUGGACAUGAUAUAGCUUACACAAUCGUGAACUGACAGCAGCAUAGUUAUGCAUACAAGGCCUGGACAAGAUCAAGCCAGCUAAAAUGCAGACCUUGAUAAGAAUGCUCUCCAGGUUUCACCGCUCACCGAGGAGCUGCCGCUGGUAGAUAGUUGUUGACAGAGGAAAAAUUAUUUGGUUUUGAAGAUGUGGCCACUGGACUUUUCCAGACUCCGGGUCUUCAUCUGUUCACUUGGCCAAGUUCCGCUCACUGCUACUCAAGCCUUUCCCAAGAACCAUCCAAUCUGUGCAUUUGUACACGUAUGCACCUUCUACUAUGAAGGGCUUUGGUGUCAUUUAGUUCCAAGUCAAUCCUAUAAAACAUUUCAGUCAACCAAGAUACCCCAACCACUAGUAUGAGGCUGUCCUUCUCCCUUGUGUUCAAACUCAUACACCAAGGUUAGACAGGAGGAGACCUUGGGCUGUUCCACCUGCAGACACUUUACUAACAGAGGACUAGAGCAUCAUCAAGAUGCUGCAAGCACUUGACUGACUGAACCACUCCCAGUCCUUAAACCCGGGCUUGAUGGUUGUUUUAUUUUGAUUUCACCUUUUUCUGCUCAUCACACUAACCUGGUCUCAUUAUGCAGCACUGCAGAAUGGAAUGGAAAAUUCUUUUGGCUUGUUUGCUUCUGCAGACAUUGGAAUGUAAACUAGAGAACAUUUGUAAGUUCCAAGAGAGCAUCUCGUUUUGUCUUUGAAGACUGACACCACCACGAGUUUCUAGAGCAGUUUGCUAUGACUUCAUAAGCGUUACCAGAGUUUCCCAAGAGAGAGACGCCAUUCCACUUACAGAGCGUCUCAGUUGGUAUGAUGAUUUGCCCCAAAGCACUGGAAAGCUAGCGAAAGAAAAGUGAGAAUUCAGCAAUGUACAAUUGAAGUCUGGGCUUAUAUUUAUUAGAUUCAUAAGGCCAUAUUACCGAUACAGAGAUGGGGGAAUUAAGCAGAAUUGUCAGUGACAUUAAUAAUAUGUGCCAAAGGGCAGGGGAGCUCACUGCUGUGAAUGGAGCUGAAAAAUUCAUGGGCCUCAGUGGAUGAAGGCACUCAUCAACCUCCGGUCUGGGUAAGAAAUUUCUACUGGAUCCCAAACUUGAGACUCUGCAUGGAAACCUGAUAAAUGAGCUACUUCAUGUCUCCGAGCUGCGUAUUCCAUAUGUGGCUAAACACUUCAACGCUUCAGACCACAUCCCUUCUGAUUUUAGAAUUUUUCCAAAUACAGCUGCUAUUAAAAACCCGAGUCUUGGAUGUAAGAAGAAAAACUUUUGUGGUCCCUACCAAAUGAAAUGCUCAGCUGUGACUCAGAAGACAAUACAGGCAUUUACAUGCCACGCUUUCUGGAAUCCUCAUUGAGAAGUGUUGGAUGGGGGUCUCCACAGAGGGUGGCCCACAUCCUGGUCCCUGCCCAGACCUCACGCCUCUCCCUCUCUCAAAUAUCUCACAGUGGCAGACACAAAAGCCUGUUCUGUCUUUCCAUGGGGAAAAAGAGCCUCUGAUUUUGUGACUUGCACAGAGUUUUCGUUUUGUUUUGUUUUUACUUUUACUUUUAAAUUAUUAUUUUAAAAUACAUCAUCUUCCCUCAUUAAGUGUUUUGGAAUCAGUCAAGAUUCAAACCCCUCCUCUUCCUUACUAUUUCCUAAGCAGCACACAACUUCUAGGUCUGGGAUUGUUUUGAAACCCAGGAAGAACUCACUUGUAUGGAGUUGCUUGGUUUUUCAUCAUCAUUGUCAGCAUGGAUAAACAGUGUGCAUCUCACACAACUGAAAGAUGUAAAUACAGGGUUUCUUUGUGAACUCCACUGGUAGAUAAAUGUAGCAUGCCAUGGAAUGUUUUACAUAUGUGUAUUGAA